UUUUAGCCCCGAUAGCAGCGUAAAUCCUCGAAAUUUAGAAAGUGAUUGUUUUCUGGCCGGAAAAGAGCGACCAGCGGAAGCUCCUUUUAUGGGUAAGAAAAAACACUUUCUAAACGAGAGAUCGAAGCGGAUAGCGGGAAAUAGC
rfam:Flavobacterium fryxellicola strain DSM 16209 FBFR11, whole genome shotgun sequence.